ACGCAGCGUUUUCCCUUUUCAUUUUAUUCACUUCCUUCAACGAAGUUUCUCCUCCGGUACUUCGUAUUCCCAGGAAUUUGCAUUCCCGGGCAAACAGAGUGGAAAAUCUUUUUCGCAGUUGCAGAAAGAAAAUAUCAAAUAAUGGUCAAGCAAGAGCAAAACAAGAAAAAGUUACAACUGGUAAAAAUGAAAGAAAGAGAGAGCAGAAGAAAUUCGAAUCCUCAGCGAUAAACAACAACAAAGAAAGUAGAGAUAUCAACAGUACUUAUGAUGCAGCAAGGGCUUCAUCACCAACAGCAGCAACUGGCGGCGCUCCUCUCCGUCGCGCUACCAAAGGACGAUUCCACUUCCUCUUCUUCCUCCUCCUCCUCCUCCGCCGCCGCCGCCUCCACCGCCGCAGCAUCCGACGGAGGAGGAGAGGGAGACGACUCGGCUCGGCUUGGCGCUAUCAACUCACUCCACCGCGCAAUUCUUUACCCGCCAAACUCGCUACUCGUCACUCACUCCGCUACUUUCCUCGCCCAGGGCUUCUCUCAGCUCCUCUCUAACAAAUCAUAUACGGUGCGACAAGCAGCAGCAAUAGCAUAUGGGGCACUUUGUGCAGUGGUGUGUUCGAUUCCUAUAACUUCGAAUGGGAGACAGAAUCAUGUUAUACUUGGAAGUAUGGUUGAGCGGUUCAUUGGUUGGGCAUUGCCAUUGCUUAACAAUGUCAGUGGUGCUGCUGAUGGGACUACAGAAUUGGCAUUGGAAAGCUUACGGGAGUUUCUUAAUGUUGGAGAUGUUGGUGGAAUUGAGAGAUAUGCUUUGCCGAUUCUCAAAGCAUGCCAAGUACUACUUGAGGAUGAGAGAACCUCCUUGAGUUUGUUACACCGGCUUCUGGGUGUGUUGACUUUGAUUUCUUCGAAGUUUAGUAGAUGCUUUCAACCCCAUUUUCUUGACAUUGUUGAUCUGCUUCUUGGGUGGGCAUUGGUACCGGACCUUUCAGAGUCAGAUAGUCGUGUUAUUAUGGACAGUUUCUUGCAGUUUCAGAAACAUUGGGUGGGUAAUUUGCAGUUCUCAUUGGGGCUUUUGUCAAAGUUCUUGGGUGACAUGGAUGUAUUACUUCAGGAUGGGAGUCCUGGAACACCGCAACAAUUUCGAAGGUUGCUUGCGUUGCUUUCUUGUUUCUCAACAGUUUUGCAGUCUGCUGCUUCUGGUUUGCUGGAAAUUAAUCUACUUCAACAAAUAACUGAACCCUUAAGCAGAAUGCUUCCAAGGUUAUUGGGAUGUUUAGCUAUGGUAGGAUGCAAAUUUGGAUGGUCAGAAUGGAUAGGGGAUUCAUGGAAGUGUUUGACUCUCUUGGCAGAAAUAUUAUGUGAACGAUUUUCCACCUUUUAUCCUCUUGCAGUUGACAUCUUAUUUCAAAGCCUAGAAAUGAAUCAUCCUAACCAAUUGAUGGGCCCAGGGAAGAUCACCUCCUUUCAAGUUCAUGGAGUUCUAAAAACAAAUCUUCAGUUAUUAUCUCUUCAAAAGCUUGGCCUUCUCGCAUCAUCUGUGCAAAAGGUACUGCAAUUUGAUGCUCCAGUAUCUCAGAUGCGGUUGCAUCCAAAUCACUUGGUCACUGGAAGUUCUGCUGCCACUUAUAUUUUCUUGCUUCAACAUGGAAAUGAUGAAGUUGUUCAACAGGCAGUGGCCUCAUUGAGUGAAGAGCUGGAGCUGUUAAAGGGCAUGCUGGGAAAAACUUUGGGUCAUGGAGAUGGGGUCAAUAGUAUUUUAGACACUAAAUCUUAUUCAAAAAAUGAGUUAUUUGCAUUGAUUAAAUUUGAUUUGAAAGUUUUGUUGACCUGUGUUUCCUUAGGUGGGCAUGGCAGUUUGGUUGGCCUACCAGACACUGCCACCUUGUAUCUUAAGAGGUCAGAGAAGUUGGUGUCUUUUAUUAUUGAGAAACUGAAUCCUUUUGACUCAUGCAUUCGGGCCUUUGUGGAGAUGCAGGUCAAUAUUAUUAAGACAUUGGAAACACUAACUACCAUUGAAUUUUUAAGCAAGUGCUCCUUAAGAUAUCAGAGUAAUGGGAAAACUUCCUUGGAUGUUGCUGCUGAAAAAGUCCCUGAUGACAAUCACAGGGAUGGGCUUUCAUCUGUUAUAACUGAUCAUCUUAGAAAGUACAAUCUACUCCUUGUUAAAGCUCUCCAUGUUUCUUCUCCUCUUGCAGUUAAAGAGGUAGCUUUAGAUUGGACGCAAAAAUUUUGUGAGAAUAUUAUGGCUACUUAUGAGAACUCAAACACGAAGACUUAUUCCUAUGAAGCAUUUGAAUACGCUGGUAUUGUUGGGAAUAUUGUUUUCUCACUUUUAGAUGCUGUGUCUGACAGGGAACCAAAAGUGAGGUUGCAUGUUGCAUUAGUUUUGGAGCUGCUUCUGCAAGCAAGACUGGUGGAUCCCAUGUACUUUUAUCCUAUUGCUGAAAUGGUCCUAGAAAAACUUGGUGAUCCAGAUUCUGAUAUAAAAUACACAUUUGUGAGGCUGUUUGCCCAUGUCCUUCCUACUACAAUAUAUUCAUGUGGUCUACAUGACUAUGGGAUACCUACCACAUCUAAUCCUGGUAUUCUUAGGUUAGGCAGUAGUUCUAACUUGCACUGGAAGCAAGUGUUUGCCCUGAAGCAGCUGCGUCAGCAACUUCACACACAACAACUUGUUUCCAUUUUGAGUUACAUUUCUCAAAGAUGGAAGGUGCCUCUUUCCUCUUGGAUCCAACGGCUCAUUCAUAACUGUCGGAGGUCAAAGGACCUUGUUUUUAGUCAAACUGAGGAAGCAGGAAACUUUGGUUCCACUGGUGUAUGGUUGGACAUCAAAGUGGAUGAAGAUAUUCUUGAAAGAAUUUGUUCUGUCAAUAAUCUGGCUGGUGCCUGGUGGGCUGUACAUGAAGCGGCUAGGUUUUGUAUUGCCAUGCGCCUUAGGACAAACCUUGGUGGGCCCACCCAGACUUUUGCAGCAUUAGAGCGAAUGCUUUUGGACAUCGCACACCUGCUACAGCUUGAUAGUGAGCAAAUUGAUGGGAACUUAAGUAUGAUAGGGUCUUCUGGUGCUCACUUGCUACCAAUGAGGUUAUUAUUGGAUUUUGUUGAAGCCCUAAAGAAAAAUGUAUAUAAUGCAUACGAGGGGUCUGCUGUUUUACCAUCAGCUACUCGCCAGAGUUCCUUGUUCUUUCGGGCGAACAAAAAAGUCUGUGAGGAGUGGUUUUCUCGUAUAUGUGAACCAAUGAUGAAUGUUGGAUUGGCACUACAAUGCCAUGAUGCUAUAAUUCAAUAUUGUUCUCUGCGCUUACAGGAUCUCAAGAAUCUUGUGGCUUCAGCUUUGAAGGACCAAUCUAGGACCCAAUUGGCUGAGAGCCUCCAUAAUAGUAGGGCUAGAUUUUCUGGGGACAUUUUGCGGGUUUUACGGAACAUGGCAUUGGCUCUGUGUAAGAAUCAUGAAGCAGAUGCUUUAAUUGGCCUACAAAAAUGGGUUUCUAUGGCAUUUUCUUCCUUGUUCAUGGAGGAAAACCAGACUCAUAGUCAAAGUGGGGAAAUGGGACCUUUUAUUUGGAUCACUGGCCUUGUAUAUCAGGCUCAAGGUCAAUAUGAAAAGGCUGCUGCUCAUUUUACUCACUUGCUUCAGAGUGAGGAAUCACUAAGUACUAUGGGUUCUGACGGUGUCCAAUUUGCUAUUGCGCGUAUCAUUGAGAGCUAUACUGCUGUAUCUGAUUGGAAAUCUCUAGAAUCCUGGCUAUUAGAGUUGCAAACACUUCGUGCUAAGCAUGCUGGGAGGAGUUAUUCUGGUGCUCUAACUACAGCAGGCAAUGAAAUUAAUGCAAUUCAUGCCUUGGCACGUUUUGAUGAGGGUGAUUUUCUGGCAGCAUGGUCAUGCCUUGAUUUAACACCUAAAAGUAGCAGCGAACUGACUCUUGAUCCCAAACUGGCCUUGCAAAGGAGUGAACAGAUGCUUUUGCAGGCAAUGCUCUUUCAAAAUGAGGGAAAAAUAGACAAGAUUCCACAUGAAUUGCAGAAGGCCAAGUCAAUGCUAGAGGAAAUGUUAUCAGUUCUCCCACUUGAUGAUCUAGCAGAGGCAGCAGCACAUGCUACUCAACUGCACUGCAUCUUUGCUUUUGAAGAAGGUUACAAGCUUAAAGGCAGCCAAGACAAGCCCAAACAGCUUCAGUCAAUAUUAAGUUCGUAUGUCCAAUCGUUGCAAUCUCCAAUUAGUAGAGUUCAUCAAGAUUGUAAUUCAUGGUUAAAACUUCUCCGGGUUUAUCAAACUAUUUUCCCAACUUCACUGGUUACUCUUAAAAUCUGUUUGAAUUUGUUGAGUUUAACCCGUAAACAAGGAAACCUAAUGUUGGCUAACCGUCUAAAUAGUGUUCUCAGAGAUCAUGUGUCGAGUUACCCUGAGGAGAGUUUGAGUGAUUUCCUUACCUUGAAUUUGCAGUAUGAGAGCAUCCUGCUCAUGCAUGCUGAAAACAAGUUUGAAGAUGCUUUUACAAAUCUCUGGUCAUUUGUGCGGCCUUUCAUGGUUUCUUCUGCAUCUAUAGUUUCUAAUGCUGAUGAUAAUAUUCUGAAGGCCAAGGCUUGCUUGAAGCUUGCUAAUUGGCUGAGAAGGGAUCAUUCAGAUAUGAAUCUGGAUAUCUUUGUUCUCAAGAUGCGAGCAGAUUUUGACAUGGCUGAUAGCUCUUUUCUUGGCCAAGAUGGACCCUCCUGUGGCAAUGAGCACCUAACCUCUAGACCUAAGUUGGGUCCUAUUAUUGAAGAAAUUGUGGGUACAGCUAUGAAAUUGUCCACUCAUCUUUGCCCCACUAUGGGCAAGUCAUGGAUUUCAUAUGCCUCUUGGUGUUUUAAUCAAGCCAAAGACUCUCUUUUUAACCCACAUGAACCAAUCCUUCACUCAUGCUCGUUUUCUCCUGCUCUGGUUACAGAAAUUCUGCCUGAGAGAUUUAAGUUAAAUGAAGUUGAGAUUGCAAGAGUCAAAUCUUUGAUUUUGCAGCUAUUCCAGAAUAAGGGUAAUCCAGAAGGUUUUGCAGAUGAACAGAGAGAACAGAAUAUUUCAAUUGAUUCUCCCCAACUUAAUUUAAGCAAUGACAGCCCUAUAAGGGCUUUGGUGCAGCAAGCAGUAAAUAUUAUUGAAGCUGCAGCUGGGGCACCAGGUGCUGAAAAUUCUAGUGGUGAAUGCCUUUCUGCUACAAUAGCUUCUCAGUUGAAGUUUUUCUUUUUACGUGCAAAUGUUGGCUUGGAUGAAACUGACAUGUUAUCUGUAGUUGAUGAUUUACUCGAUGUUUGGUUGUCUUUGAGGACGAGAAGAGUGUCCCUCUUUGGGCAUGCGGCUCAUGCUUUUAUACAGUAUUUGUCAUUUUCAUCUGCUAAGCUUUGCCAUGGUCAGUUGACUGGCUUUGAUUGUGAGUCUUUAAAACAAAAAACUGGCAGCUAUACCCUGAGGGCUAUAUUAUAUGUCCUACAUAUUCUUCUCAAUUAUGGAGUGGAGUUAAAGGAUACUCUUGUACCUGCUCUUUUGACGAUUCCUUUGUGGCCAUGGCAGGAAGUAACACCCCAACUAUUUGCACGUUUAAGUUCUCAUCCUGAGCAAGUGGUCCGGAAGCAGUUGGAGGGAUUAUUGGUGAUGCUUGCCAAACAAUCUCCUUGGUCCAUAGUGUACCCAACAUUAGUUGAUGUAAAUGCUUAUGCUGAGAAGCCUUCAGAGGAACUUCAGCACAUAAUGGGUUGUUUGACAGAGCUCUAUCCAAGGUUGAUUCAAGAUGUUCAACUGAUGAUUAAUGAGCUGGGAAACAUGACUGUACUUUGGGAGGAACUAUGGCUCAGCACACUUCAGGAUCUUCACACAGAUGUAAUGAGGCGCAUAAAUGUGUUGAAAGAAGAAGCUGCCCGUAUUGCAGAAAAUGUCACUCUUAGCCAGAGUGAGAAGAACAAGAUUAAUGCUGCUAAAUACUCAGCCAUGAUGGCUCCCAUUGUAGUUGCAUUGGAACGUCGUCUAGCUUCAACUUCUCGAAAACCUGAAACACCUCAUGAAGUGUGGUUCCACGAGGAGUAUAAAGAACAAAUAAAGUCAGCCAUUGUGAUCUUUAAGACUCCUCCUGCAUCUGCUGCAGCACUUGGAGAUGUGUGGAGACCAUUCGAUAAUAUUGCUGCAUCCUUAGCAUCAUACCAGAGGAAAUUAUCAGUUUCUUUAGAGGAAGUUGCUCCGCAACUGGCUCUUUUAUCAUCUUCUGAUGUGCCAAUGCCUGGUCUUGAGAAGCAUGUCACACUUUCUGAAUCUGACAUAGGUCUCACUAAUAGUCUCCAAGGAAUUGUUACAAUUGCUUCUUUCUCUGAACAAGUGGCAAUCUUGUCAACCAAGACCAAACCUAAGAAGCUUGUUAUACUGGGCUCAGAUGGUCAAAAGUAUACAUACCUUUUGAAGGGGAGAGAAGAUCUGCGACUUGAUGCAAGAAUCAUGCAACUUUUGCAAGCUAUUAAUGGGUUUCUACAUUCAACUCCUGCAACUCGUAGUCAUUCUCUUGGCAUUAGAUAUUAUUCUGUGACUCCAAUUAGUGGUCGUGCUGGUCUAAUCCAGUGGGUGGACAAUGUAAUAAGCAUAUACAGUGUUUUUAAGUCUUGGCAAAAUCGUGUCCAGCUGGCCCAGCUCUCGGCACUGGGUGCUGGAAAUGCAACAAAUUCGGUUCCUCCACCUGUUCCCCGACCAAGUGAUAUGUUCUAUGGUAAAAUCAUACCAGCACUCAAAGAAAAAGGCAUUAGGAGAGUAAUUUCACGAAGAGACUGGCCUCAUGAAGUCAAGCGUAAAGUUCUUUUGGAUCUUAUGAAGGAGGCUCCUAGACAGCUUCUUCAUCAAGAACUAUGGUGUGCAAGUGAAGGAUUCAAAGCUUUUAGCUCAAAAUUGAAGAGGUAUUCUGGAAGUGUUGCAGCCAUGAGCAUGGUGGGCCACAUUUUGGGUCUGGGGGAUAGACAUUUGGAUAAUAUUCUUAUAGAUUUCUCUAAAGGGGAUAUAGUACAUAUUGAUUACAAUGUUUGUUUCGAUAAAGGGCAAAGAUUAAAAGUUCCAGAGAUUGUUCCCUUCCGCCUUACCCAGACAAUAGAAGCAGCUUUAGGGCUGACUGGAAUAGAAGGCACAUUUAGAUCAAGUUGUGAAGCAGUUGUUGAUGUUCUUAGAAAGAAUAAAGAUAUACUCUUGAUGUUACUAGAAGUGUUUGUUUGGGAUCCAUUGGAAGAAUGGACUCGGGGAGAUUUUCAUGAUGAUGCAGCAAUUGGUGGUGAAGAAAGAAAGGGCAUGGAGUUGGCUGUCAGCUUGAGUUUAUUUGCCUCGCGAGUGCAGGAAAUUCGUGUUCCCUUACAGGAACAUCAUGAUCUUUUAUUGGCCACCCUACCAGCCAUUGAAUCUUCUCUUGAGAGAUUUGCUGAUGUUCUAAAUCGAUAUGAGAGCGUCUCUGCUCUUUUUUCUCAAGCGGAUCAAGAGAGAUCUAAGCUUAUUCUGCAUGAGACGUCGGCAAAGUCAAUUGUUUCUGAUGCAACUAUAAAUUCAGAAAAUACUCGUGCGUCCUUUGAAAGUAAGGCUCGAGAAUUCGCCCAAUCAAAGGCUGUGGUUUCUGAAAAAGCUCAAGAGGCAGCAACUUGGAUGGAGCAGCAUGGAAGGAUCAUUGAUGCUUUACGCAGCAAUUUUAUUACAGAAAUAAAUGUUUCCAUAAAUCUGAGUGGCAUGGAAGAAGAUUUUUCUCUUACAUCCGCUGUUCUGGUGGCAGGGGUUCCAUUAACUAUUGUUCCUGAGCCCACACAAGUACAAUGUCAUGAUAUAGAUAGGGAAGUUUUUCAGCUCAUAGCUGAGUUAGAUGAUGGACUCUCUUCUGCUAGAACUGCACUCCAAGCAUAUUCUUCGGCUUUGCAAAGAAUCCUCCCGCUAAAUUACCUUUCAACUAGUGCAGUGCAUGGCUGGGCACAAGUUCUGCAACUUGCAGUUAAUGCGCUAUCCUCUGACAUCCUCUCUCUUGCCCUAAGACAGGCUUCAGAACUUAUGGAGAAAGUAAAUGGGGAUAAUCCUGAUUCUGUCAAAAACAGUCAUGGCGAUUUGUGCCUUAAAGUGGAGAAGUAUGCAGUAGAGAUAGAGAAAGUCGAAGAAGAGUGUGCCGAGUUAGUCAACUCUAUUGGCUCAGAAACUGAAUCUAAAGCUAAGGAUCGGGUUCUGUCUGCUUUUAUGAGAUACAUGCAAUCUGCUGGUCUGGUAAGGAAAGAAGAUUCCUUGUCUUCUAUUCAAUCAGGACAAUCUAAAUAUGAUGGGACAAGGGAUGCAAGAUUGCGAGGGGAACUGGAAGAGAAGAAGGAGAAGGUGUUAUCUAUUUUGAAUACAGCUCUAAGUUCUUUGUACAAUGAUGUUAAAAGUAGGACAUUAAACAUAUUUAGGGAUUCCACAAAAGGAAGAAGUGUAAAUAGUAGAUUGCAGUAUGAUUUCGGAACUAUUUUCUCUGAGCUCGAAGAGCAAGUUGAGAAAUGUGUUCUCUUGGCAGGGUUUGUUAAUGAAAUACGACGUAUCAUUAGUAGGGAGAUACCUAGCAUCGAUGCAGACAAAGACCAUUCAAAAUAUUUUUCUGAAAGAAAUUGGGUUUCUAUCUUUGGAACCAGUUUACAUUCCUGUAAGAGCCUACUUGGGCAAAUGACUGAAGUUGUUCUACCAGAUGUUAUAAGAUCUGCUGUUUCAUUUAAUUCUGAAGUCAUGGAUGCAUUUGGGUUAAUCUCACAAAUUCGGGGUUCUGUUGACAUGGCACUAGAGCAACUCCUUGAGCUUGAAAUGGAGAGGGCAUCUCUGGUUGAACUGGAGCAGAAUUACUUUAUCAAGGUUGGCCGCAUUACUGAGCAGCAGUUGGCUCUUGAAGAAGCUGCUGUGAAAGGCAGGGAUAAUCUCUCUUGGGAGGAGGCAGAGGAGCUUGCAUCCCAGGAAGAGGCUUGUAGGGCACAGCUGGACCAACUCCACCGAACUUGGAGCCAGAGGGAUGUACGUACUUCUUCACUCAUAAAAAGAGAAGCUGACAUAAAACAGGCCUUGGUUUCUUCAGAACGCCAUUUCCAGUCUCUAAUUUCUGUUGAUGAGGAGAGGGAGCAGCAUAAUGUGACAAUAAAAAUGCUAUUAUCCACACUAGUUAAGCCCUUUUCUGAAUUGGAAUCUAUGGAUAAAUCGCUGUCUUCAUUUGGUGUUUCUGCUACUUCUCACUCAAAGGACAUUCCUAAUUUGGUGGAUUUGAUGAGUUCUGGAUACCCAAUGUCUGAAUAUAUCUGGAAGUUUGGGGGCUUGUUGGAUAGCCAUUCUUUUUUCAUUUGGAAAAUAGUUCUUGUGGAUUCUUUUCUUGAUUCAUGCAUACAUGAUGUAGCUUCAUAUGUUGAUCAAAAUUUAGGAUUUGACCAGCUCUUCAAUGUUGUAAAGAAAAAGCUAGAGGUCCAACUUCAGGAACAUAUUGGCCAGUACCUGAAGGAACGAGUUGUUCCUGCUUUAGUGGCUUUAUUAGAGAGAGAAAAUGAUCAUCUGAAGCAAUUAACAGAGGCAACAAAGGAUGUUGCUCUUGAUCAAGCGAAAAGAGAUGCUGGGGCUGUGAAAAGGGUUCAACUCAUGCUGGAAGAAUACUGCAAUGCUCAUGAAACAGCUAGAGCAGCAAGGUCAGCAGCUUCCCUUAUGAAGAGGCAGGUGAAUGAGCUCAGAGAGGCUCUUCAUAAGACUGGCCUAGAGAUUGUUCAGAUGGAAUGGAUGCAUGAUAUUACAUUGACAUCCUCCCACAAUACUAGGGUCACAUUCCACAACUUCCUUCCUAGUGAUGAUAACCUUUAUACUAUCAUUUCAAAUCUCAGCAGAGCUAAAUUGCUGGAGAGUAUGCAAUCAGCUGUGUCAAAGAUAGCUAGAUCAAAGGAGGGCCUGCAGGCUUGUGAACGAAAUUCUGUCACAGCAGAAGCACAGCUUGAGAGAGCAAUGGGGUGGGCUUGUGGUGGCCCAAAUUCUAGUGCAACUGGAAAUGCUUCAGCCAAGAGUUCAGGAAUUCCUCCUGAGUUCCAUGACCAUCUGAUGAAGCGACGGCAACUGCUAUGGGAAACUAAAGAAAAGGCAUCAGAUAUUAUGAAAAUUUGCAUGUCAUUAUUGGAUUUUGAAGCAUCAAGAGAUGGCAUUUUCCGGUUUCCAGGAGAGAUUUACCCUUAUAGGACUGGCGGGGAUGGCAGGACAUGGCAGCAAGCUUACUUGAAUGCGCUCGAAAAAUUGGAGGCGAAUUAUCAUUCUUUUAUGCGUUCUGAACAAGAGUGGAAACUUGCACAACGCACCAUGGAAGCUGCUUCAAAUGGCUUAUAUUCUGCAACUAAUGAACUCUGCAUUGCCUCUCUCAAAGCAAAGUCAGCUUCAGGUGACCUGCAUAGCACUAUUCUUGCUAUGAGGGAUUGUGCAUAUGAAGCCAGUGUUGCAUUAUCUGCAUUUUGUCGUGUUUCAAAGAACCAUACUGCUUUGACUUCUGAAUGCGGUUCCAUGCUUGAAGAGGUCCUUGCCAUAACAGACGAUCUCCAGGAUGUUCAUAGUCUGGGAAAGGAGUCUGCUGCAGUUCACCACUCUCUUAUGGAAGAUCUUUCUAAGGCAAAUGCAAUCCUUCUUCCACUUGAAGCGGUGCUGUCUAUAGAUGUAGCUGCAAUGACUGGUGCUAUGUUUAGGGAACAGGAGACCAGUAAAGAGAUACCUCCCAUUCAUGGACAGGCCAUAUACCAGUCUUACUUUUUAAGAAUUAGGGAGGCUUGUCAGACCUUUAAGCCCUUGGUACCAUCACUUACAUCUUCUGUGAAGGGACUCUAUUCCAUGUUGACCAGGCUAGCACGAACUGCAAGUCUACAUGCUGGCAAUCUUCACAAAGCUCUUGAAGGACUAGGAGAGAGCCAGGAAGUAAAAUCACAGGGAAUUAAUUCAUCGAGGUCAGAUCUUGCUGGUGAUGCUACUGAAUUUGCUGACAAGGAGGGUGGAAGCCUCUCCAUAUCUGACAGUGGAAGCACUGAGAAUUUUCUUGGUGUUACUGUACUUUCUUUGCAAGAUAAAGGAUGGAUAUCUCCACCAGAUAGCAUCUGCAGUAGCAUCUCAGAAUCUUGUAUUGACCCAGCUGAAGAAAUUGUUCCAGAUUGCUUAAAUAAGCUGGCUGAAGAUAUGGGACAACUUUUACAUGGGUCUAGUGCCACAGGUCAAAAUACUGCUCCAUUUUCUCAAACUGACUUCCGAGAAAUUUCACAUUUUGGGCAGUUAGAAUCCAAGUAUGUGGAGGUUAAUGUUGUUGAUACAGUUUCUGGCAAGUCAGUAGUGAAUGAGCUGAAUGAAUGUCUCAAAGUUGGGACAUCACCAAGCAAUGAAUCUGUAACUGUCCCUUCUGACAGUUUGCAUUCUUUGAAUGAGAACUCAGAUGAGAAGGCUGGUGUUAAGGACGAGAUAUUUGCAUCAAACAAAGUUAAGACUGAAGAUGAAGAUCGUGAAGCUCCUGUGCCUAAUAUGCAUGGUGGUAGUCGAGUAGGUCGGGGUAAAAAUGCUUAUGCAUUGUCGGUUUUGAGGCGAAUUGAGAUGAAACUAGACGGUCGAGAUGUUGGUGACAACAGGGAUAUUAGUAUUGCUGAGCAAGUGGAUUAUCUACUUAGGCAAGCCACAAGCAUAGAUAAUCUGUGCAACAUGUAUGAAGGUUGGACACCAUGGAUUUGAACUUGUGGAUCCUAUGUGCUAUAGAUACAAGCUAUGAUCUCAAAUUACCUUGUUCAAGAUACAAUGUUAGGCAUGUCAGGGGUUUUUUAUUCACAUGCAAAAAGACAGACUUGGGGUCUGUAAAAUUUGCCUACCUACAAUGAAGUCAUUGCACCUAUUUUGAUGUUACCUCAGCUAGCCCCAUAUUUGUCUUCACAUCUCUUGCUUCCCCCUGACCUAUAUUGCUUGAGCAAGCCCAGUAUUUGGCUUCAGAACCCGCUGUUUUUUACUCAGAGAGAGCGAGCCAUGGGCAUCUUCAGUGAGAGAUUUGCCAUGAAUUACAAAGAGCUCCCUUGGAUGGUGCUACACUGUUUUGCCCGAGCCUCCCUUCCAAGGGGUCAGAGUUCUUCAGGCAUAGUAUAUACACCAAUCCUCUCCAAGACAUAUCAUGUUAUCAUGAAGUCCCUUGCAAGAUUUGCUCAUGUCACUCGCACAGCAGACUCAAGUCUUAAAUGAGCUCUGUUUCGCAGCAUCACAAGGGACUUGCUUGGCGACCUUCCAAUGCGUAAAAAGCCUUUUUGUUGAUGUGAUGACUUUGCAUAACUGCUGCCCACACUGUGAAGGGAUUUCGAAUCCUAGAUGUCUCCGUUGGAAAUAUUAAGGUGUCAAAUGAGCUAUAAGGCUCUUGGCUGCUAGGUAUGCACAGAACUUGGAGAUUCGACAUUUUUUUAAACAUAAAGUACAAAAAUAUACCAAUGGCUUGCUGUGGUUUAGGAACUUCCUGUGGCUGUGGGGACAGAAGAUAGACUAAAACCGGACAAAAUGUGUCUAUUUUGCAAAGCACACAGAUAAACAAGAAGGUUUGCGCUUUGUAUAUCAAUUAUUACAACCCUUCUACACCACUUCUCAACCAUCUUAUAUAAACUUGACUUCACAUCUCAAAAAUAUUAUCCAUCCAAAAGCUUCAAAUAUCUUCAAGGAACUUUUAACAACUUUUCCUCCUUUCACGAUUUGUCUAUUUUUGUUACUAAGAAAGAUUUUUUUAGUCAUGUCUGGGCUGGUGGAUAUGUGGACUAGUAUGAUGUCCAAGCUGAGAGAAAAGGGUCAAACCAUGUUUUCUAAUGGCUCUAGCCUUACUAAUGCUGAGUCUAGCCAGAGGAUUCAAGCCAAGGAAAAGGAAAAGGAAGAGAGCUCAACUGGGUUGGUCCCAGCUUUUAGCCGGUUCAUGCGAGUCAACUCGCCUGUGGUGUUGUAUUCUGAGGCUUCAGUUUCUAUACUUGAGUGUUUGAGUGCUUGAAAAUUGAAAUGUAAUGUCACUUUAGUCUUUUUAUCUUUUCCUCCUUUUUGUCCUGGGCCCUUCAGUUGUGACAUGAGUCUAUGGGGGCCAAAAAGAUGUGUAAAUAUGGCGGUCUUGAAAUUUUAAUAA